rnacentral:rRNA from 1 species
AUUAAACGCUGGCGGCAUGCCUUACACAUGCAAGUCGAACGGCAGCACGGGGGGAACCCUGGUGGCGAGUGGCGAACGGGUGAGUAAAGCAUCGGAACGUGCCCUGGAGUGGGGGAUAACGUAGCGAAAGUUACGCUAAUACCGCAUAUUCUGUGAGCAGGAAAGCAGGGGAUCGCAAGACCUUGCGCUCUGGGAGCGGCCGAUGUCGGAUUAGCUAGUUGGUGGGGUAAAGGCCUACCAAGGCGACGAUCCGUAGCGGGUCUGAGAGGAUGAUCCGCCACACUGGGACUGAGACACGGCCCAGACUCCUACGGGAGGCAGCAGUGGGGAAUUUUGGACAAUGGGCGAAAGCCUGAUCCAGCCAUGCCGCGUGAGUGAAGAAGGCCUCGGUUGU